rnacentral:rRNA from 1 species
AGUGAACGCUGGCGGUAGGCCUAACACAUGCAAGUCGAACGGCAGCACAGUAAGAGCUUGCUCUUACGGGUGGCGAGUGGCGGACGGGUGAGGAAUACAUCGGAAUCUACUUUUUCGUGGGGGAUAACGUAGGGAAACUUACGCUAAUACCGCAUACGACCUACGGGUGAAAGCAGGGGAUCUUCGGACCUUGCGCGAUUGAAUGAGCCGAUGUCGGAUUAGCUAGUUGGCGGGGUAAAGGCCCACCAAGGCGACGAUCCGUAGCUGGUCUGAGAGGAUGAUCAGCCACACUGGAACUGAGACACGGUCCAGACUCCUACGGGAGGCAGCAGUGGGGAAUAUUGGACAAUGGGCGCAAGCCUGAUACAGCCAUACCGCGUGGGUGAAGAAGGACUUCGGGUUGUAAAGCCCUUUUGUUGGGAAAGAAAAGCAGCAGGUUAAUACCACGCUGUUCUGACGGUACCAAAAGAAUAAGCACCGGCUAACUUCGUG